UCCUAGUUCUUUUGGGCGCAGCAGGGCGAUAAACAAAAAUAUCGCAUGGUCAAGUGGACGGAGAUUUGCAAGCCCAAAGAUCAAGGUGGAUAUGGAUUUAUCUCCCCUAAAUGCAUGAACAUCGCCCUUCUCUCCAAAUGGCUAUGGAGGAUCGCCGCGGGGAAAGGUGUACUGUAGCUAGACAUCAUUCGCGCAAAAUACUUUUGCGACAACCGCUUGCAUUUGCCCAGCGGUUGGGAGGAUUCAAGUUCUGGCAAUACAUAA
rnacentral:rRNA from 1 species